rnacentral:rRNA from 1 species
AGUGAACGCUGGCGGUAGGCCUAACACAUGCAAGUCGAACGGCAGCACAGUAAGAGCUUGCUCUUACGGGUGGCGAGUGGCGGACGGGUGAGGAAUACAUCGGAAUCUACUUUUUCGUGGGGGAUAACGUAGGGAAACUUACGCUAAUACCGCAUACGACCUACGGGUGAAAGCAGGGGAUCUUCGGACCUUGCGCGAUUGAAUGAGCCGAUGUCGGAUUAGCUAGUUGGCGGGGUAAAGGCCCACCAAGGCGACGAUCCGUAGCUGGUCUGAGAGGAUGAUCAGCACAACUGGACCUGGGCCCCGGUCCAGACUCCUACGGGAGGCAGAAGUGGGGAAUAUUGGACAAUGGGCGCAAGCCUGAUCCAGACAUACCGCGUGGGUGAAGAAGGCCUUCGGGUUGUAAAGCCCUUUUGUUGGGAAAGAAAAGCAGCAGGUUAAUACCCCGCUGUUCUGACGGUACCAAAAGAAUAAGCACCGGCUAACUUCGU